rnacentral:rRNA from 1 species
GUAGUUAGCCGGGGCUUCCUCCUCAGGUACCGUCAUUGUGUUCGUCCCUGAGGACAGAGGUUUACAAUCCGAAAACCUUCUUCCCUCACGCGGCGUUGCUGGGUCAGGCUUUCGCCCAUUGCCCAAUAUUCCCCACUGCUGCCUCCCGUAGGAGUCUGGACCGUUUCUCAGUUCCAGUGUGGCCGAUCACCCUCUCAGGUCGGCUACCCAUCGUCGCCUUGGUGGGCCGUUACCUCACCAACUAGCUAAUGGGACGCGAACUCACCCCAUACCGGAUUGCUCCUUUGACCUCAACCCCAUGCGAGGUCGUGGUCUUAUGCGGUAUUAGCAGAUGUUUCCAUCUGUUAUCCCCCUGUACGGGACAGAUUGUUCACGCGUUACUCACCCGUCCGCCGCUAGAACACCGGCCGAAGCCAAUGUCCCCGCUCGACUUGCAUGUGUUAGGCACGCCGCCAGCGUUCGUCCUGAACCAAGAUCAAAUUCUGA